rnacentral:rRNA from 1 species
UACGUAGGGGGCAAGCGUUGUUCGGAAUUACUGGGCGUAAAGGGCGCGUAGGCGGCCCGGCAAGUCAGGAGUGAAAGGCCUGGGCUCAACCGAGGAACUGCUUUUGAGACUGCCGAGCUAGAGUGCAGAAGGGGCAACUGGAAUUCCCAGUGUAGCGGUGAAAUGCGUAGAUAUUGGGAAGAACACCUGAGGCGAAGGCGGGUUGCUGGGCUGACACUGACGCUGAGGCGCGAAAGCCAGGGGAGCAAACGGG